rnacentral:rRNA from 1 species
GUCUAUGGCCAUACCACCCUGAACACGCCCUAUCUGAUCUCGGAAGAUAAGCAGGGUUGGACCUGGUUAGUACUUGGAUGGGAGAGUCAGGGUUCAAGCCC